rnacentral:lncRNA from 1 species
UUGUCCAUAGGAUUGCAGAAGCAUACUUUUGGAUUAAUUAAUGGUUAUGAUGUGGUAUGUGCUAUUUUUGUUUUACUUUUUCCGAAAUGGGUCCUAGAAAACUCCUUGCCUCAAAGAAGCAAAAGACAUCUGAUGCAGGCCCUUCAUUUGUGCCUAGGCCCAAAGUUGGUAGUUAUAGUCAUGAUAAGUUUCUAGGACCAGAGCAGUAAGAGCGGUAUAGAGAGAUAGCUAG